AAACUCAAAGGAAUUGACGGGGACCCGCACAAGCGGUGGAUGAUGUGGUUUAAUUCGAUGCAACGCGAAAAACCUUACCCACCUUUGACAUGGCAGGAAUCCUGAAGAGAUUCGGGAGUGCUCGAAAGAGAACCUGCACACAGGUGCUGCAUGGCUGUCGUCAGCUCGUGUCGUGAGAUGUUGGGUUAAGUCCCGCAACGAGCGCAACCCUUGCCAUUAGUUGCUACGAAAGGGCACUCUAAUGGGACUGCCGGUGACAAACCGGAGGAAGGUGGGGAUGACGUCAAGUCCUCAUGGCCCUUAUAGGUGGGGCUACACACGUCAUACAAUGGCCGGUACAGAGGGUAGCCAACCCGCGAGGGGGAGCCAAUCCCGCAAAGCCGGUCGUAGUCCGGAUCGCAGUCUGCAACUCGACUGCGUGAAGUCGGAAUCGCUAGUAAUCGCGGAUCAGAAUGUCGCGGUGAAUACGUUCCCGGGUCUUGUACACACCGCCCGUCACACCAUGGGAGCGGGUUCUGCCAGAAGUAGUUAGCCUAACCGCAAGGAGGGCGAUUACCACGGCAGGGUUCGUGACUGGGGUGAAGUCGUAACAAGGUAGCCGUAUCGGAAGGUGCGGCUGGAUCACCUCCUUUCUG
rnacentral:rRNA from 1 species